UAGUGGCGAACGGGUGAGUAACACGUGGGCAAUCUGCCCUUCACUCUGGGACAAGCCCUGGAAACGGGGUCUAAUACCGGAUAUCACUCCUGCAGGCAUCUGCGGGAGUUGAAAGCUCCGGCGGUGAAGGAUGAGCCCGCGGCCUAUCAGCUUGUUGGUGAGGUAAUGGCUCACCAAGGCGACGACGGGUAGCCGGCCUGAGAGGGCGACCGGCCACACUGGGACUGAGACACGGCCCAGACUCCUACGGGAGGCAGCAGUGGGGAAUAUUGCACAAUGGGCAGAAAGCCUGAUGCAGCGACGCCGCGUGAGGGAUGACGGCCUUCGGGUUGUAAACCUCUUUCAGCAGGGAAGAAGCGAAAGUGACGGUACCUGCAGAAGAAGCGCCGGCUAACUACGUGCCAGCAGCCGNGGUAAUACGUAGGGCGCAAGCGUUGUCCGGAAUUAUUGGGCGUAAAGAGCUCGUAGGCGGCUUGUCACGUCGGGUGUGAAAGCCCGGGGCUUAACCCGGNUCUGCAUUCGAUACGGGCUAGCUAGAGUGUGGUAGGGGAGAUCGGAAUUCCU
rnacentral:rRNA from 1 species